rnacentral:rRNA from 1 species
AUUGAACGCUGGCGGCACGCCUAACACAUGCAAGUCGAGCGGCAGCACAGGUAGUAGCAAUACUACUGGGUGGCGAGCGGCGGACGGGUGAGGAACACGUAGGAACUUGCCCAGUAGAGGGGGAUAACUAAGGGAAACUUUAGCUAAUACCGCAUAUUCGCGAUAGAGGAAAGCUGCCAGCAAUGGUGGCGCUAUUGGAGAGGCCUGCGUCCGAUUAGCUAGUUGGUAGGGUAAAAGCCUACCAAGGAUGGGAUCGGUAACUGGUCUGAGAGGACGACCAGUCACACUGGGACUGAGACACGGCCCAGACUCCUACGGGAGGCAGCAGUGGGGAAUCUUGGACAAUGGGGGCAACCCUGAUCCAGCGAUGCCGCGUGAGUGAAGAAGGCCUUCGGGUCGUAAAGCUCUUUAGGCUGGGAGGAAGGCUAGUAUUUUAAGAGAUAACUAGUUUGACUGUACCGGCAGAAUAAGCACCGGCAAACUCUGUGCCAGCAGCCGCAGUAA